GAGGAGAGGGGUAAGGGAAAUGGAUAAAAGUUAAGAUUCGGUUGGAUAAGGAAAGAGAAAGGGGAUAUGAGGAUGUGGUAGUUGUGUGGUGCGGUAUAAUGUAUCCCUCCUGAUGGAUAAGGGAAUUGAAGGAGGAUUUGAGGAUUAUUGAUGUUAGUGUUGCGUGUUUAGGCAGAUCUCAUGUAUGCUUUGUCUUCUUUUUCGUGCUGUUGGUUUUGCUAUUGAACUAAAGAUUGAAAUGUUAAAGGGGAAGGAAUGGGAAAUAAUGAGCUGAUGUGGUAUACGAAUGUCAGCUUUCUCUCGUAUAUUCUUGCCUUUAUUAUUUUCUGCUGCUAGAUUUGCUUUAGUGUAAAGCAGAGGUUCCCAAACUUGACGAUGACGAGUCCCAGCCGAGGACCCCCAAUCAAACAAAAUUGAUCAUUACCAUAUCGGGAUACCCAGUACUACCCAGUUCAACGUAGUCAAUGGAAUGGUUUUUAUUUAGUACGCUGUGAAGCCACGCUUGUUCUUGCUGCAGCUGCUGGGGAUAAAGAUGGAACAAAGUAGCAAAUGAAAGAGACAAACGCAUGUGUGUGUACAUUUUAGCAGCUGUUUACUUUCUGAAUCACUUACAAUUCUGGAAAGACAUGUAAAUGAAGUGUAUAUAUUUGAUACGGUUUUGUUGUAUAAAUGUAACUAUUAUUCACUGUAAAGAAAAGUGUAAAAAAACAAAAACAAAACAGAAUUACAAAUUAUUACAGUUCUAAACAUAAACGUUAUCGGUUAGUUAAGUAUAAACAUAUUUUUUUCUGUACAAUUGUUUGUACCAAAUUAGGUUAGACUUCUAAAAUUCGGCAUUGAAUAAAAAUAAAUGUAGACAAAAUGCAGUUUAAAAUAAAUCAAUAAAAAUGGCAAUAAUAAGGGCAAUAUAUAGCUUAGGUAUGUAUUAUGAUGAUUCUGUAUGUUUGAUUAUUACAGUACAUGAAUCGUACGAAGAAAAUUGUUGUAAACGUGUUAAUACAUGGAGAACAGUUAACUUUAAAAAUAACAUUAGUAUAAAGAUGAACCAAAGCUGUAUUAAUGCCACGUUGAAAAUCAGAAGUCCAGUUCGUUCCAAAUUGGAGUAGGUCGGUUCGGUCCGGGUCGGUAUACCAUUGUCUUCCUCUUGUAGUAGUAGUUGUUGUAGUAGUAGUAGUAGUAGUAGUAGUAGUAGUAGUAGUAGUAGUAGUAGUAGCAGUAGUGAUAGUAAUAAUAGUAGAAAUAGUAGUAGUAGUAGUAGAGGAGGACGAGGACGAGGAAUGUUACUAUUAUUGCCGCUGUUGUUGUUUGAUGCUGUGGAAGUGUCCAGAUUCUGCCGCCUGAUGGAAGCAGCGUCGCAUCAUCACUUGAACCUAUCUUCGGAUCUUCUCUGGGGUACAUUUCUUUCUCCUACUCAC